GAUCAUGGCUCAGGAUGAACGCUAGCUACAGGCUUAACACAUGCAAGUCGUGGGGCAGCAUGGUCAAAGCUUGCUUUGACUGAUGGCGACCGGCGCACGGGUGAGUAACGCGUAUCCAACCUGGCCCAUAGUAGGGAAUAGCCCGGCGAAAGUCGGAUUAAUGCCCUAUGUUGUCCGAUGAAGACAUCUGAGUUGGACUAAAGAUUCAUCGCUAUGGGAUGGGGAUGCGUCCGAUUAGCUUGCCGGCGGGGCAACGGCCCACCGGGGCGACGAUCGGUAGGGGUUCUGAGAGGAAGGUCCCCCACACUGGUACUGAGACACGGACCAGACUCCUACGGGAGGCAGCAGUGAGGAAUAUUGGUCAAUGGGCGGGAGCCUGAACCAGCCAAAGUAGCGUGCAGGACGACGGCCCUACGGGUUGUAAACUGCUUUUAUACGGGGAUAAAGUGCGCCACGUGUGGUGUUUUGUAGGUACCGUAUGAAUAAGGACCGGCUAAUUCCGUGCCAGCCGCCGC
rnacentral:rRNA from 1 species